GGGCCAGGCAGUAGUGGAGAACACCUUU
rnacentral:piRNA from 1 species